UAUAUUAGAUGAAUUAGUUGCGCAUGAUAUUCUAGGAAUCAAAGAUACAUGCUCGUAUGUUGCCUAUAAAAUAAAAAUAUUAAGAUUUAAAUUGAAUGAGAAAAAAAAAGUUAGGAAAUGAGCACAUUUAUUAGAUUAAAACUAAUCGAAUUAUUAGUCCUGUUAAUUGAUAAACUCUGAAUAGCUGCUAUUGCUGAUCCGCAUGGUCUUGUACCGGCAACGUAUCCAUCAGAUAUCUGCCUUAUCAACUUUUGAUGGUAGUUUAUGUGCCUACCAUGAUGGUUGUAAACGGAUAACGAAGAAUAACGGUUCGAAUCCGGCGAAGGAACCUGAGAAACGGCUACCCCAUAUCCAGCGAAGGUAGCAAGCGCGUAAAUUGACCAUUCUCAGAAUGAGGAGGUAGUGAUGAAAAAUAACGAGAUCGUUUUCUUUGAGGCCGAUUAUUGGGAUAGGUAGAGUUUAAACUGGUUUAAAAUGUA
rnacentral:ncRNA from 1 species